rnacentral:rRNA from 1 species
UACGGAGGAUCCGAGCGUUAUCCGGAUUUAUUGGGUUUAAAGGGUGCGCAGGCGGGGGAUUAAGUCGGCGGUGAAAUUUUGCAGCUCAACUGUAAAAGUGCCUUCGAUACUGGUUUUCUUGAGUGUAGCUGAAGUAGGCGGAAUUUGUGGUGUAGCGGUGAAAUGCAUAGAUAUCACGAGGAACUCCGAUUGCGCAGGCAGCUUACUAAACUACUACUGACGCUCAUGCACGAAGGCGUGGGGAUCAAACAGGAUUAGAUACCCCCGUA